GGAGAGGUGUCCGAGUGGUUUAAGGAGCACGCCUGGAAAGCGUGUGUGUGGGGAUACCUGCACCGAGGGUUCGAAUCCCUCCCUCUCCGCCA
rnacentral:tRNA from 1 species